GAUUCCUUUUGAAGUAAUUUCUAUAUUUUCUUUUAUUUAUAUAUCUUCGUUUUUAUUAUUAUUUGUAACAUUCCUUAAAUUGUAAUUUCUUUUAAUGUAUUUUUUAUUUCUUCUCUUAUAGUGGUUUCUAAUUUGUUUAGGAUAUUUUCUACUACAUCCAUAUUUACUUGGUUUAUCUUUUGUACAACAUAACUGUAUAUCUGAUUGUAAUAAAUUUCUAAUAUUUGUCGCUUGAGUACAUNNNN
rnacentral:lncRNA from 1 species